UAGAAAGUAGUGUGAUGGAAGCACUAAGAGUUUUGAUCUCUCCAGAGGGGGUUCAAAUCCUCCCUUUCUAA
rnacentral:tRNA from 1 species